rnacentral:rRNA from 1 species
GACGAACGCUGGCGGCGUGCUUAACACAUGCAAGUCGAACGGAAAGGCCCUUCGGGGUACUCGAGUGGCGAACGGGUGAGUAACACGUGGGUGAUCUGCCCUGCACUUUGGGAUAAGCCUGUGAAACUGGGUCUAAUACCGAAUAGGACCACGCGCUUCAUGGUGUGUGGUGGAAAGCUUUUGCGGUGUGGGAUGGGCCCGCGGCCUAUCAGCUUGUUGGUGGGGUAAUGGCCUACCAAGGCGACGACGGGUAGCCGGCCUGAGAGGGUGACCGGCCACACUGGGACUGAGAUACGGCCCAGACUCCUACGGGAGGCAGCAGUGGGGAAUAUUGCACAAUGGGCGCAAGCCUGAUGCAGCGACGCCGCGUGAGGGAUGACGGCCUUCGGGUUGUAAACCUCUUUCAAUAGGGACGAAGCGCAAGUGACGGUACCUAUAGAAGAAGCACCGGCCAACUACGUG